AUUUUUCUCAAGCAUUUUUUAAAAAUUCCUGCCAUUUGUGAAUUAUAUAGCAAAUGAUUACCUAGGUUUUGGCAUUAAGCCCACUUCACUACUUCUUACUAGUAAAACAAAGGAUUACAUUUGUUCAAUUAUAUAAACCUGUUCUCAUUACUUAGUUUUGAAUCAGGAAAUUGAAGCGUUCAGUCUGUCCGAAGACACUUCAUCGGGGCUGCCUGAGGAUCGAGUUGUCAGCGUGAGUUUCCGAGUUCUCUACCCCAUCGUUAUUACCAGUCUUGGAGUGUUCUACGAUGCCAAUGAUGUGGGUUUCCAGAGGAACAUCACUGUCAAACUUUAUCAGGCAGAACAAGAGGAGGCCCUCUUCAUUGCUCGCUUCAGUCCUCCAAGCUGUGGUGUGC
rnacentral:sRNA from 1 species